AAAACAGAUCCACUUAACCGCCUCUUUCCCAUUUCAAUCUCUUUUCCUCUCAUCACCUUCUCCGCCCCCCCUCAUUCCUGCCGGUCACCCUGCCGCCGUCCCUACCCAGCUGAAAUGUAAUGUGUGUGGUGAGGUUGAAUUUCGAUUUCGUGCUGUUAAAUUUGACCAAACACUCGUCUUAUCUCACCUAUAAUGGUUCCACGUUCUUUAGUUCUGCUGUUCAGAAGCAGUACCUUGAGAAAUAUGGCCUUAAUGAGAUGAUACCUGUGGCUGCCAAUGACGUUGCUUUCUCAAUCCAUGCUGUUCUAUUGACAGCAUUUACCCUGUUUCAGAUUGUUAUUUAUGAUCGUGGAAACCAGAAGGUCUCAAGGACUUCCAUUGGGAUCGUGUGUGUUGCUUGGUUAACUGUUGCAGUUUGUGUGUUCAUAGCUUUCCCCAGUCAUUCCUGGCUUUGGCUGAUCUCUUGCUUUAAGCCAAUUAAUAGGAAUAAAAUUUGUCCCACCAACCAGGGGAUGAUGCUGAAUACAUGGCAGAUGAUAUGACAUGGAAGCUAUAGAUGAUGAUAUGGAUGAUUAGUUAACGGCAGCGACAUAAUGAAUUCCAUGAUCGCACCCCAUUGUUACAACAAUGCACACAACAUAAUCUCUACAUAACAAGGGGAGAAUCAAGAAUUCAAGUAGUAGAUCACAGAGGAGAAUCAGUGUUGGUUGAAAUGGAGGCUCGCUUUCGGAGUGCUGUGUGACAAGAAAGUGUCACCAAAACUUAAGGGCAAGUUCUACAAAGUGGUGGUUAGACCGACUCUGUUGUACGAGGUAGAGUGUUGGCCAGUCAAGUACCCUCACGUGUAGAAGAUGAAAGUCGCGAAAAUGAGAAUGUUGUGGUGGAUGUGUGAGCACACUAGGAGAGAUAGGAUCAGGAAUGAGGACAUCAGGGACAAGGUGGGAGUGGCAUUGGUGGAGGACAAAAUGAGGGAAGCGAGGCUGAGAUGGUUUGGGCAUGUGAAAAGGAGAGGCAUAGAUGCCCCAGUGCGUAAGUGUGAGAGGUUGGCUAUGGACGAUUUUAGGAGAGGUAAAGGAAGGCCAAAGAAAUAUUGGGGAGAGGUGAUUAGGCAGGACAUGACGCAGUUUCAGAUUACCGAGGACAUGACCUUAGAUAGGAGGUUGUGGAGGGCUUAGAUUAGGAAAGAAGGCUAAUAGGUAGUCUUGUUUUUCUGUAGCACUAGUAGGCGGAAACAACCGCUCUACCUUUCAAGGUGGGGGUUAGGUUUGCGUACACUCUACCCUCCCCAGACCCCACAUAGUGGGAUUAUACUGGGCUUGUUGUUGUUGUUGUUGUUGUUGUAGUAGGCGUAGUUUUGCUCUACUUUUUAUUGGCCUUUUUUUUUCCUGCUUUUAUGUGUUGGGUCUUGUCUCUCCAUGCUGUUUUAUCAUGACUUCUUUGCCCUUAUUUUUUUCUCAUUUUUGCAUUGCUUUGAUUUGCUUGUCGGUAUCUGACUUUUCUCCCCUUAUUUUCUUGUUUUCUUUUGAGCCGACGGUCUUUCAGAAACAGCCUCCCUACCAAGGUGGGGGUAAGGUCUGCGUACAUUUAACCCUUCCCAGACCCCACACGAUGGGAUUCAACUGGGUAUGUUGUUGUUGUUGUUGUACAUUGGAAUUCAAUCUUCGAUUAAAAUGGACGGACUAUAAUUUACAUUUUUAUACAUUUUAAAAGUAUUUAACAAUGAUAUAAAUUAUUUGUGUUUAUUCUUUUUAGUGAAAUCUUUUUUAGUUAUUUGUGUUUGUCAUUAUGCACGACAUAAAAUUAUUAUAAGAAUAAUAUUUUAAUUUAUAAAUAAUCCUAUAUUAAGAUAGAAUUUGAAUGACAAGAUAAUUAUUUACAUGUCUUAAUGAUUUACAUGUCUAUAAUAAAUUCUUAAGGAAAAAUAUAAUUUGAAACAAGUUUAAUAAUAUUUCCACAUAAAAGACUCAAAUAUGUAUGAGUUUGCUUUGUGGGGGCCACCAUAACAUUUUCCAUGACAUCAUCAUUUUAGUGGCAUAAAAAUGCCUGAAAGUUCUUAAAAUUUGCCAAAAUUGUGUGACAAUUUGUUAAGUCAUAAAAAUUUCAAGUAGGGAUAAAAAAGGAUAAAAAAAUUCAAGAUGUACUUGGAUUUUCUCAAUGAAAGAUCCUUCUGAGUUGUUUCUAUAUUUCAAAGUUGUUGUGCUGAAAUACAAAAUCAAUUUAGUGUCUCUAUUAGUACAUUUCGUAGUGAUAAUGCCUUAGAAUGUUUGUCUUCCCAGUUUCAGCAAUUUACGACUCACCAAGAAAUUAUUCAUCGGACAUCCCGUCUAUACACUCCUCAGCCAGAUUGAGUAGCAGAGUCGAAGAACAUGCACCUCAUUGAGACUGCUCGCACUCUUCUAAUUUAGUCUCAUGCUACGCUUUUUGGGCAGAUGCAGUUCUCACAUCUUGCUAUUUAAUUAAUCGGACGCCUUCAUCUUCCAUUCAGAAUCAAAUUCCUUAUUCAAUAGUGUUUCUUCAAUCACCUCUAUACUCUCUUUCCCUUCGUGUCUUUGGGGAAAGAUAAAUUAACCCUCGUGCCUUUAAAUGUGUCUUCUUGGCUAUUCUCGGAUUUAAAAGGGGAUAUUGUUGCUACUCACAUGAUCUUCGUCGGUACCUUAUAUCAGCUGAUGUCACAUUUUUUGAGUCUCAACCUUUCUUUACAUCAUCUUCUUAUCAUUCUGACAUAUCUAGGUCUUAUUUAUACCUACUUUUGAGGAAUCUACUGUUACUUUUACAUUUCUAUCCACAACACCACCAGUCUUCCCGAUUUUUGAAGAAUCUGCAGUUACUUCUACGUCUCCACCCAUAGUGCCACCAAUCCUAACUUAUCGUGGUGGAUUUGAGAGAAGGGUAAGAUUUACACUCUAUCUCCUAGCGAAAAUUUCAUUGAAUCUUUUUGUUAGAAGAACUUAUUAAAAUAUUUGGUUGUUAACAAAGACCAUGAUUUUGAUUCUUGUCCUUAGCCAGAGGAGCAGUCACAUAGAUCAAAGGGUGGUCACUUUAAACACUUUCGGUGAAAAGAAAUUAUAUCUAUAUAUAGAUCAAAAUAUAUUAAUGUUAUAUAGAUCAAAACAUACUAUUCCUUUAAAAAAAUUGACAAAAUUUAUGAUUUCGCCACUAUUUUAAGUCAUGAGUGGCAUGCAUCCUAGACUGUGGUACCAAUUUGAUUGACGAAAAAAUUUUGGUUACCACAAUACAUAUGAAGUUUAUGCUCUUUAAUGUAAAAUAUAUUUACACAAUUGAUAUAAUUAUAAUAUACAUUUAGUGAUAUUCUAAUAAGCAUAGAGUAACUAAUUGCCACUACAUUGUAGGUUAAAGUAAUUUGAUACUCCCUCUGUCCCAAUUUAUGUGGAACUUUUCUUUUUUCGAGAGUCAAUUUGACCAAACUUUGAAGCUAAAUUGGAUUAAUUAACUCAAUAUUUUAAGAUUACAAUUUAUAUAUUUGAAAACUAAAUGAAAAGUACUAUAAGUUGUAACUUUUCCUAUAUCAAUUUGGUAAAAAAUACAUCUUAAAAUGUUGAUCAAAAUUUAUGUAGUUUGAAUCUCGGGAAGCGAAAAGUGUCACAUAAAUUGGGACAGAUAGAGUAGUAUAUAAAAAAGAAGAUGCACCUUAAUUGAUCUACUUAAACCUAGAUAGGUAAUUGAAACUCCAACUUUUGGUUUGUUUAUUUAUUUUACGUCUUUCUACCUUCCUUUGUACCGAAGCAAGUGAAAAGAGAAAUAUUAUACAGGACAAAGGAAAGUACAUCCGGAGUGCCAAGUUCCUAUUGGUGUUUUUGGUCCCAUUCAGUGUAUAGUAUUAACUUUAGUACUCGAUUAAUUCGAAUUUAAAAAUUUCUAGUUUAAAGAGAAAAUGCUACUUAAAUUGUAGGAAAAGCCGAAAAGGCAAGGCAAAGAGAUUCUUUCUUAACAAUAAAGCAAUCAAAGGAAUAAUAUAGAGAGCACUAACCAAAAGAUAAAAAGGGAAAAUUGUUAAUUAAUGGAUUAGAUCAAUUGCAGUCCCCACCAGCUUUAGCUUAAAUCAUUGAAUUGAAGUUCCCCCUUAAUAUAAAAAGAAGACCGUAACAGAAGUCUUCUGUACAAAAUAUGGAAAAAGAUAUAGCAAACAGUGAAUAUCAUUAGGGAAACUUUUGUUGCUAAAUGAAACUGUACGGAGCCAAUGUCAUAGGAUUGUUUUAUUAUAAGUUGGUUGGAAUUGGCCCCAUCGAAAAAGUUAGUGGGUCUACAAAAAUAUUGAAACUUCCUCGAUACUAAACGAGUGAUAUAUGUAACUGAAAUGAUAAAUUAAUAGUACAAUGUGAAAGAAAGAAAAAGGUCAUGGCAUAAUUUCAUACCUUUUUGGUAUAUCGAAAAAAGAUAAAUAAAAUGCCCUCGCCGUCAACCUUUUGGCUCUAAAAUACCCUUAUUUUUAACGACGCCUUAUGAAAUUAAUCUUAAUGAAUUUAUUUAUUAUGCUGUCAACUAUUACUCCCUCCGUUUCAAUGUAUGUGAAACUUUUCGGAUUACAAGGGUCAAACUUUAUAACUUUGAUCGUAAAUUUUGACAUAGAUUUUUCAAGUUUGUAAAAGUAAAAUUUAUGUAUUUAGAAACUACAUAAAAAAAUACUAUAAGUCAUGAUAAUUUAUAAUUCAAAUAAUUUUAAAAAAAUAUAUAAGAAAAACGUGAUCAAAGAACUACUUCGUUGACUCCUAAAAUAAAUUGAAACGAAGGCAGACAGUGGCAGUGACCAUCAUCCAACUACCCUGAGAUAGAGCGAACCCAUAGGAUACAUCAUAAUUAACUUCAUUAGCCAAUCGAUAACUAAACAACAGGGGAAGUUUAAUAAGGAUAACAAUAUCUUAAUCAUCUUCCCAUGCUGAGUCAUAAUCCUCAACCAGUACAUCACCCGUAAUGGAAACAUCUAAGAAUCUCUACCAGACACAGUAUGAUAAGUAAAGUCUAAGAAUUAAAAAGCAUAAGCUAGAUGAAGAAUCUGCAUUUAAGCAGUAAAAGAGAGUAAAUGAAACCAUUUUUGCAGAACAAUUAAUUAAAACAUCACA